UUCUGGGGAUUAUACGAAGACUGCAAUGUAAUUACACAAUUGUACAAGAACAAAGUUAUAAUAUACAAUGCUACAAAUUAUGCGCGUGUACAAAAAUAUGAAAAUAUAUACUGUGUAUCAGCCAGAUGCGGAUCCCUAAAGUUAAAAAUUAUACAUUAUUUGCAUCAUAUGUGACACUCCGCCCAAAAAAAAGGACUUUGAGUUCUAAGUACAAAAUUAUAUAGUUCUCCCCUCGACCGUUCCCCCCAAAAUUAUAUUCUGGAUCCGCCCCUGGUAUCAGCAAAAAUUGGAACAAAUAUAUGUAUGUAAACAUACACAUAUACAUAUAUUAAUUGGGCAUUCCACUCUAUAAUCACAUUUUUUCGCGCCACAUUCUUCAGUGUCGGUUGCGAUUGCCACCAAAUACGAUGUUAUUGAAAUAUUGUAUUGUAAUUUUGUGCGUUACGCGGGUAUUACCAUUUAAACUUACUGAUAACGAUGAGAAUGAGACAAAACCUUUCACAAAGAUCGACCGCAAAUAUCUAUUAUCUAAUAAACACUACUGUGGCGAUGAACUGGUUCGAUGCUGCGUUUUAUUGUCACUUCCUUGAUAGUGAUUUGGCCGUAAUCGAGUCGGAAGCCGAGAUGAAU